GCCAGUGUGGUGUAAUGGUUUGAGUGUUGGACUACAACUCUGGAGACCAGGGUUUGAAUCCCAGCUCAGCCA